AGAGUUUGAUCAUGGCUCAGGAUGAACGCUGGCGGCGUGCUUAGCACAUGCAAGUCGAACGGGAAUGUUUCGCUGAUGCGAUUUCGGUCAAAUCUUGAAGCAUUUUAGUGGCGGACGGGUGAGUAACGCGUGGGUAACCUGCCCUGUACAGGGGGACAACAGUUGGAAACGACUGCUAAUACCGCAUAAGCGCACAGCUUCGCAUGAAGCAGUGUGAAAAACUCCGGUGGUACAGGAUGGACCCGCGUCUGAUUAGAUAGUUGGUGAGGUAACGGCCCACCAAGUCAACGAUCAGUAGCCGGCCUGAGAGGGCGAACGGUCACAUUGGGACUGAGACACGGCCCAAACUCCUACGGGAGGCAGCAGUGGGGAAUAUUGCACAAUGGGGGAAACCCUGAUGCAGCGACGCCGCGUGAGUGAAGAAGUAUUUCGGUAUGUAAAGCUCUAUCAGCAGGGAAGAAAACAAUGACGGUACCUGACUAAGAAGCCCCGGCUAACUACGUGCCAGCAGCCGCGGUAAUACGUAGGGGGCAAGCGUUAUCCGGAUUUACUGGGUGUAAAGGGAGCGUAGACGGUAGACCAAGUCUGAAGUGAAAGCCCGGGGCUCAACCCCGGAACUGCUUUGGAAACUGGUAAACUAGAGUGUAGGAGAGGUAAGUGGAAUUCCUAGUGUAGCGGUGAAAUGCGUAGAUAUUAGGAGGAACACCAGUGGCGAAGGCGGCUUACUGGACUGUAACUGACGUUGAGGCUCGAAAGCGUGGGGAGCAAACAGGAUUAGAUACCCUGGUAGUCCACGCCGUAAACGAUGAUUACUAGGUGUCGGGGAGUUAAACUCUUCGGUGCCGCAGCAAACGCAAUAAGUAAUCCACCUGGGGAGUACGUUCGCAAGAAUGAAACUCAAAGGAAUUGACGGGGGCCCGCACAAGCGGUGGAGUAUGUGGUUUAAUUCGACGCAACGCGAAGAACCUUACCAGGUCUUGACAUUGAUCGCCAUUCACAGAAAUGUGAAGUUCUCCUUCGGGAGACGAGAAAACAGGUGGUGCACGGCUGUCGUCAGCUCGUGUCGUGAGAUGUUGGGUUAAGUCCCGCAACGAGCGCAACCCCUAUCUUAUGUUACCAGCACGUUAUGGUGGGGACUCAUGAGAGACCGCCGCGGACAACGCGGAGGAAGGUGGGGAUGACGUCAAGUCAUCAUGCCCCUUAUGACCUGGGCUACACACGUACUACAAUGGGUGUCAACAAAGAGAAGCGAAACCGCGAGGUGGAGCGAACCUCAAAAACACACCCCCAGUUCAGAUUGCAGGCUGCAACCCGCCUGCAUGAAGUAGGAAUCGCUAGUAAUCGCGGGUCAGCAUACCGCGGUGAAUACAUUCCCGGGCCUUGUACACACCGCCCGUCACACUAUGAGAGUCGGAAACACCCGAAGCCGGUGAGGUAACCGCAAGGAGCCAGCCGUCGAAGGUGGAGCUGAUGAUUGGAGUGAAGUCGUAACAAGGUA
rnacentral:rRNA from 1 species